rnacentral:rRNA from 1 species
UACGGAGGGUGCAAGCGUUAUCCGGAUUCACUGGGUUUAAAGGGUGCGUAGGUGGGCAGGUAAGUCAGUGGUGAAAUCUCCGGGCUUAACCCGGAACUGCCAUUGAUACUAUCUGUCUUGAAUAUCGUGGAGGUGAGCGGAAUAUGUCAUGUAGCGGUGAAAUGCUUAGAUAUGACAUAGAACACCAAUUGCGAAGGCAGCUCACUACGCGAAUAUUGACACUGAGGCACGAAAGCGUGGGGAUCAAACAGGAUUAGAUACCCUCGUAGU